rnacentral:tRNA from 1 species
UUAGCUUAGUUGGUAGAGCACCCGCUUAGUAAGCGGGAGGUCGUCGGUUCAACUCCGGCAGAA